rnacentral:snoRNA from 1 species
GUGUUCUCUUCUGAGCGUGAAGCCGGUUUGUGACACUGCUUGUUAGCGGUUGUUACAUGUCAUUGAUGAUCGUUCUUCUCUUCCUUCUGGAGGGGCAAGAGGGAGAGAACACAGGCUGA